GAUGAACGCUGGCGGCGUGCCUAAUACAUGCAAGUCGAGCGAACGGACGAGAAGCUUGCUUUUCUGAUGUUAGCGGCGGACGGGUGAGUAACACGUGGAUAACCUACCUAUAAGACUGGGAUAACUUCGGGAAACCGGAGCUAAUACCGGAUAAUAUUUUGAACCGCAUGGUUCAAAAGUGAAAGACGGUCUUGCUGCCACUUAUAGAUGGAUCCGCGCUGCAUUAGCUAGUUGGUAAGGUAACGGCUUACCAAGGCAACGAUGCAUAGCCGACCUGAGAGGGUGAUCGGCCACACUGGAACUGAGACACGGUCCAGACUCCUACGGGAGGCAGCAGUAGGGAAUCUUCCGCAAUGGGCAAAAGCCUGACGGAGCAACGCCGCGUGAGUGAUGAAGGUCUUCGGAUCGUAAAACUCUGUUAUUAGGGAAGAACAUAUGUGUAAGUAACUGUGCACAUCUUGACGGUACCUAAUCAGAAAGCCACGGCUAACUACGUG
rnacentral:rRNA from 1 species